AUUGAACGCUGGCGGCAUGCUUUACACAUGCAAGUCGAACGGCAGCGCGGGCUUCGUCUUGGCGGCGAGUGGCGAACGGGUGAGUAAGCCAUCGGAACGGGCCCGGGUGUGGGGGAUAGCCCGCCGAAGGCGGGAUUAAUACGGCAUACGACCUGAGGGUGUAAGAGGGGGACCGUAAGCCCUCACGCACUUUGAGCGGCUGAGGUCGGAGUGGUGAGUUGGUGGGGUAAAGGCUUUCCAGGGCGAAGAGCCGUAACUGGUCUCAGAGGAGGACAAGCGACACUGGGACUGGAAAGCGGCCCAGACUCCUGCGGGAGGGACAAGUGGCGAAUUUUGGACAGAGGGGGCAAUCCUGAUUCAGCCAUGCCGCGUGAGAGAAGAAGGCCUUCGGGUUGUAAACCUCUUUUGUUCGGGAAGAAAUCCUCUGGGCUAAUACCCCGAGGGGAUGACGGUACCGGACGAAUAAGCACCGGCUAACUACGUG
rnacentral:rRNA from 1 species